rnacentral:rRNA from 1 species
UACGUAGGGUGCAAGCGUUGUCCGGAAUUAUUGGGCGUAAAGAGCUCGUAGGCGGUCUGUCGCGUCUGCUGUGAAAACUCAGGGCUUAACCCUGAGCUUGCAGUGGGUACGGGCAGACUAGAGUGCGGUAGGGGAGACUGGAAUUCCUGGUGUAGCGGUGAAAUGCGCAGAUAUCAGGAGGAAUACCGGUGGCGAAGGCGGGUCUCUGGGCCGUAACUGACGCUGAGGAGCGAAAGCAUGGGGAGCGAACAGG